rnacentral:rRNA from 1 species
AGCGUACACGGUGGAUGCCCUGGCAGUCAGAGGCGAUGAAGGACGUGCUAAUCUGCGAUAAGCGUCGGUAAGGUGAUAUGAACCGUUAUAACCGGCGAUUUCCGAAUGGGGAAACCCAGUGUGAUUCGUCACACUAUCAUUAACUGAAUCCAUAGGUUAAUGAGGCGAACCGGGGGAACUGAAACAUCUAAGUACCCCGAGGAAAAGAAAUCAACCGAGAUUCCCCCAGUAGCGGCGAGCGAACGGGGAGCAGCCCAGAGCCUGAAUCAGUGUGUGUGUUAGUGGAAGCGUCUGGAAAGGCGCGCGAUACAGGGUGACAGCCCCGUACACAAAAAUGCACAUGCUGUGAGCUCGAUGAGUAGGGCGGGACACGUGGUAUCCUGUCUGAAUAUGGGGGGACCAUCCUCCAAGGCUAAAUACUCCUGACUGACCGAUAGUGAACCAGUACCGUGAGGGAAAGGCGAAAAGAACCCCGGCGAGGGGAGUGAAAAAGAACCUGAAACCGUGUACGUACAAGCAGUGGGAGCACAGAGCAAUCUGUGUGACUGCGUACCUUUUGUAUAAUGGGUCAGCGACUUAUAUUCUGUAGCAAGGUUAACCGAAUAGGGGAGCCGAAGGGAAACCGAGUCUUAACUGGGCGUUAAGUUGCAGGGUAUAGACCCGAAACCCGGUGAUCUAGCCAUGGGCAGGUUGAAGGUUGGGUAACACUAACUGGAGGACCGAACCGACUAAUGUUGAAAAAUUAGCGGAUGACUUGUGGCUGGGGGUGAAAGGCCAAUCAAACCGGGAGAUAGCUGGUUCUCCCCGAAAGCUAUUUAGGUAGCGCCUCGUGAAUUCAUCUCCGGGGGUAGAGCACUGUUUCGGCAAGGGGGUCAUCCCGACUUACCAACCCGAUGCAAACUGCGAAUACCGGAGAAUGUUAUCACGGGAGACACACGGCGGGUGCUAACGUCCGUCGUGAAGAGGGAAACAACCCAGACCGCCAGCUAAGGUCCCAAAGUCAUGGUUAAGUGGGAAACGAUGUGGGAAGGCCCAGACAGCCAGGAUGUUGGCUUAGAAGCAGCCAUCAUUUAAAGAAAGCGUAAUAGCUCACUGGUCGAGUCGGCCUGCGCGGAAGAUGUAACGGGGCUAAACCAUGCACCGAAGCUGCGGCAGCGACGCUUAUGCGUUGUUGGGUAGGGGAGCGUUCUGUAAGCCUGUGAAGGUGUACUGUGAGGUAUGCUGGAGGUAUCAGAAGUGCGAAUGCUGACAUAAGUAACGAUAAAGCGGGUGAAAAGCCCGCUCGCCGGAAGACCAAGGGUUCCUGUCCAACGUUAAUCGGGGCAGGGUGAGUCGACCCCUAAGGCGAGGCCGAAAGGCGUAGUCGAUGGGAAACAGGUUAAUAUUCCUGUACUUGGUGUUACUGCGAAGGGGGGACGGAGAAGGCUAUGUUGGCCGGGCGACGGUUGUCCCGGUUUAAGCGUGUAGGCUGGUUUUCCAGGCAAAUCCGGAAAAUCAAGGCUGAGGCGUGAUGACGAGGCACUACGGUGCUGAAGCAACAAAUGCCCUGCUUCCAGGAAAAGCCUCUAAGCAUCAGGUAACAUCAAAUCGUACCCCAAACCGACACAGGUGGUCAGGUAGAGAAUACCAAGGCGCUUGAGAGAACUCGGGUGAAGGAACUAGGCAAAAUGGUGCCGUAACUUCGGGAGAAGGCACGCUGAUAUGUAGGUGAAGUCCCUCGCGGAUGGAGCUGAAAUCAGUCGAAGAUACCAGCUGGCUGCAACUGUUUAUUAAAAACACAGCACUGUGCAAACACGAAAGUGGACGUAUACGGUGUGACGCCUGCCCGGUGCCGGAAGGUUAAUUGAUGGGGUCAGCGCAAGCGAAGCUCUUGAUCGAAGCCCCGGUAAACGGCGGCCGUAACUAUAACGGUCCUAAGGUAGCGAAAUUCCUUGUCGGGUAAGUUCCGACCUGCACGAAUGGCGUAAUGAUGGCCAGGCUGUCUCCACCCGAGACUCAGUGAAAUUGAACUCGCUGUGAAGAUGCAGUGUACCCGCGGCAAGACGGAAAGACCCCGUGAACCUUUACUAUAGCUUGACACUGAACAUUGAGCCUUGAUGUGUAGGAUAGGUGGGAGGCUUUGAAGUGUGGACGCCAGUCUGCAUGGAGCCGACCUUGAAAUACCACCCUUUAAUGUUUGAUGUUCUAACGUGGACCCGUGAUCCGGGUUGCGGACAGUGUCUGGUGGGUAGUUUGACUGGGGCGGUCUCCUCCUAAAGAGUAACGGAGGAGCACGAAGGUUGGCUAAUCCUGGUCGGACAUCAGGAGGUUAGUGCAAUGGCAUAAGCCAGCUUGACUGCGAGCGUGACGGCGCGAGCAGGUGCGAAAGCAGGUCAUAGUGAUCCGGUGGUUCUGAAUGGAAGGGCCAUCGCUCAACGGAUAAAAGGUACUCCGGGGAUAACAGGCUGAUACCGCCCAAGAGUUCAUAUCGACGGCGGUGUUUGGCACCUCGAUGUCGGCUCAUCACAUCCUGGGGCUGAAGUAGGUCCCAAGGGUAUGGCUGUUCGCCAUUUAAAGUGGUACGCGAGCUGGGUUUAGAACGUCGUGAGACAGUUCGGUCCCUAUCUGCCGUGGGCGCUGGAGAACUGAGGGGGGCUGCUCCUAGUACGAGAGGACCGGAGUGGACGCAUCACUGGUGUUCGGGUUGUCAUGCCAAUGGCACUGCCCGGUAGCUAAAUGCGGAAGAGAUAAGUGCUGAAAGCAUCUAAGCACGAAACUUGCCCCGAGAUGAGUUCUCCCUGACUCCUUGA